AACAAACAUUAUAGGUGUAAUUGGCUGGGCAUAAAAGUUAAUGGACCCCACACAGACAGAGAGAGAGAAAAGUGUAAUAAAAACACAGCCUGUUGUGUUAGAGCUAUGAUCACUACUUUCUCUCUAUUACUCCAAAACAUUUCAUUUCUUCUUCUUCAUCUCUCUCUCUCUAUAAAAAAAAAAGCAAUGAGCUCGAUGAUGGAAACUCUCCAGAUUCGCAAACAAGUUUCUCUCCCCGUUUCUCAGCGUCCUACUUCCUCCACCACCACCGAUGAUGAUAAGCCUGCAGGAGAGCAAGCAAGAAGCUGGUGGGAAUGGAGUCGUUCAUGGAUCCUUUCCAAGAAGCUAGAUCAAUCGGCUCAUCACAUAACUGAGGAAGUAGUAUAAUGCACGUCACCCCCAUCUCAGAUCCGCAAUCUCUCAUGCAUGGACUCUCUUCUUCUGAUAUCAUUCCUCUCUCUAUAGUGUCAAUAAACGGUUAAGCUUUUGUAAUUUGGCUCUUAUAAAAUAUGAUCUUGGUAUGAAUCAAUUGGAUUAUAGUCAACCAUAAGGGGAUGUGUUUUUGGAAAGUUCGAUGUUUGUAUUUUGUUGCUAUAGUUAAUAAUGAUUUAUUUUGAUUUCUUUACAUCUUGUGCAGUUGUAUUUUGUAACCAUGAAAUUAUGUAGAAACACGUUAUUCUGUUUCAGUUA